ensembl:lncRNA
AAUUUCGGGCCUAUAAGCACAAAAGAAACAUUGAAAUGAGUGGGAAAGCGGUAGAGGAACAAGCCAGAGGAGAGCAGCUCUGUGAGAUCGUGCACCCACAGCGAAUUCCCUGCUGCAAAACUCGCACGCUCCAUGCGUGAACAAAGGAAUACUUCUGAUUCUCCUUUAAUUGCAGACUUAAUAGGGGCUGAGGCAACAGCAACUGCUGCUGCAUGCUGCUGCAUGACUCUUCAUUGCAACACAUCUAGGUGGAAGUGCUAAUAUAUUCCUUCUGGUCCUGCUCACUUCGUGACAGCAGGAAGGGAAGGAAGCUGUGUAAAAGUCCCUCCGUUUUUCUGCGCUGCCAGCUCUGCACUGCCUCUUCAGGCUAUGCCCACUUUGCUUUUAUUCAGGCAGAAAACGCUCAGCCUUCACGACUAAUACAAAGUCGUAGAGCUUGGUGUUAGAAUAUUCCCCUCCAUGAAUUCCUCACAAGAAAGUAAUAUAUGAGCUCAUCUCGGGCAAUAGGGAACAUUUUAAGUUUUCAGUGAUAUUAACACUGAGAAGUAUAAAGCCAUUUUUAUUACUUUAAUCUGCAAGUUCAUUUUUAAAUGGAAUACAGGUAUAAACAGUGCCAUUUUAACUACAUUACAGUGCUGUCAGGCUGUGGCAAUUUAAAUGAAUGAGACUUCAAGACAUAUUAUAAGAAAGAUUAAAUGUCUCAUUGAAAUACACAUGGCAAAAAUGAAAUCCAUCAGCAAAAUGAAAUUAUUUCAAAACUUCACAGGAUUAAAUCCAAAGGCCUCUGCCACCAUAUUUGAAGCAGUGGUUUAGAGGUUUAAGUGGAGGUCAAGCAUCAAGGGAGUGAUGGAAUCAGCAGCCAAAACAACACUGAGGUCUUCUGGUUGUUUCCUUCGUGGCCAUAAACCCCGUGUUUUACACCGUCGCUAUUUAGCCUGUUGUUCCAUGUAACUUGCUUGGGCUAAAGGGCAUUUUCAGGGUUUAUUUUGGUUUAUGAAGCAGACUGUUUUAAGAGUGUCUUGUACAUUGCAAGUAUCCAUGGUGCAGUCGUUAGUCUAAGAGGUUAAGAUUAAUGAUAUGGAGUUCCUUAAAGCUUCUUGGCUGAAUUCAGCUUUGUAAAAAG